UACGUAGGGCGCAAGCGUUGUCCGGAAUUAUUGGGCGUAAAGAGCUCGUAGGCGGUGUGUCGCGUCGGCCGUGAAAACCUGCAGCUUAACUGUGGGCUUGCGGUCGAUACGGGCAUCACUGGAGUUCGGCAGGGGAGACUGGAAUUCCUGGUGUAGCGGUGAAAUGCGCAGAUAUCAGGAGGAACACCGGUGGCGAAGGCGGGUCUCUGGGCCGAUAUCGACGCUGAGGAGCGAAAGCGUGGGGAGCGAACAGG
rnacentral:rRNA from 1 species